rnacentral:rRNA from 1 species
UGGAUCCAGACUUUGAUUCUGGCUCAGGACGAACGCUGGCGGCACGCCUAACACAUGCAAGUCGAACGGAGAUAAUUGAGUUUACUUGAUUAUCUUAGUGGCGGACGGGUGAGUAACACGUGAGCAACCUGCCUCUGAGAGAGGGAUAGCUUCUGGAAACGGAUGGUAAUACCUCAUAACAUAGCGGAACCGCAUGAUUCUGCUAUCAAAGAUUUAUUACUCAGAGAUGGGCUCGCGUCUGAUUAGCUAGUUGGUGAGGUAACGGCUCACCAAGGCGACGAUCAGUAGCCGGACUGAGAGGUUGAACGGCCACAUUGGGACUGAGACACGGCCCAGACUCCUACGGGAGGCAGCAGUGAGGGAUAUUGCACAAUGGAGGAAACUCUGAUGCAGCGAUGCCGCGUGGAGGAAGAAGGUUUUCGGAUUGUAAACUCCUGUUUCGAGGGACGAUAAUGACGGUACCUCGGGAGGAAGCUCCGGCUAACUACGUGCCAGCAGCCGCGGUAAUACGUAGGGAGCGAGCGCUGUCCGGAAUUACUGGGUGUAAAGGGAGCGCAGGCGGGAUUGCAAGUCAGGUGUGAAAUGCAGGGGCUCAACCCCUGAGCUGCACUUGAAACCGUAGUUCUUGAGUGAAGUAGAGGUAAGCGGAAUUCCUAGUGUAGCGGUGAAAUGCGUAGAUAUUAGGAGGAACAUCGGUGGCGAAGGCGGCUUACUGGGCUUUUACUGACGCUGAGGCUCGAAAGCGUGUGGAGCAAACAGGAUUAGAUACCCUGGUAGUCCACGCUGUAAACGAUGAUGACUAGGUGUGGGGGGACUGACCCCUUCCGUGCCGCAGUUAACACAAUAAGUCAUCCACCUGGGGAGUACGGCCGCAAGGUUGCAACUCAAAGGAAUUGACGGA